UACGGGGGGGGUAAGCGUUGUUCGGAAUUACUGGGCGUAAAGGGCUCGUAGGCGGCCAACUAAGUCAGACGUGAAAUCCCUAGGCUCAACCUAGGAACUGCGUCUGAUACUGGAUGGCUUGAAUCCGGGAGAGGGAUGCAGAAUUCCAGGUGUAGCGGUGAAAUGCGUAGAUAUCUGGAGGAAUACCGGUGGCGAAGGCAGCCCCCUGGGCUGAGAUUGACGCUCAGGCACGAAAGCGUGGGGAGCAAACAGG
rnacentral:rRNA from 1 species